CUUUAUUUUAAGGCAACAAAAAAGAGAAAAACUUGAGACGAAACUGAGCUGUGGGGGAAAAAAACAGAAAAAGUCUCGCUCUGCAGAAGCUGAAGCUGCAGGUGAGGAAAGGCUCACACUCACGUGUGCACACAUCUCACAUGCACUUCCAUGGAGAUGGGCUACAGGAGGAACCCCCCCCCCAAAAAAAGCAGGAAGAUAAUGAUCUGGAUUUUAUUCAAAUCCUGCAGUUUUCUGCAGACUCCAGGAGGGGGCGGGGCUUGUGCCUGAACCGGUUGGUUGUUUUUUUUUUGUUUAGUGUGCAAUGUUAUCGGCCUCUCAAAUCGCUGCGCAGGAAUUUCAUUCCCUUCUUUCCAUUGUUUUAGUUCACUGAGGUGUGCAGGUGGCCGUUCACGAGGGCUCCCUUCAGGUGUGGACUCUCUUCGGCUCCGCUGGAGUUUCGUCGCUUCAUCUCCACUCUUUGUGUAGCUGCUUGACUUUUGUCCAAAGUUGUCACCGUUUGACGGAAAGCCUCAUGUUUGACUCUGGUGUAUUAGAAUUCACGACAGACUCUGUGACCUCAGAUUGUUGCAGAACAAGCCCACACAAUCAACACUCCUCCCCCAUGUUUGAAAGCUGGCAUGUUGUUUGCUGAUAAAGCAUGUUAUGACAUCGCUCACCGCAAAAAUAAAACUUUUUCAAUGUUUUUCCUAACAUUUAGCUGAUGUUGGUCUGAGAUUGAGCUCAUGGGUUGACAUCUUUUUUUGAGUUUUUCUCUGGACAAUUCUAUGUUACCUUUAGCACCACGGUUCACUGUAAAGUCUGAAGUUUCCCAGAAAGCCAUUUAGACCAUGUAGGCUAAAUGGUUAAGAAUCUGAGAUCUUCUCUGGGGGUUCUGCUUGGGUCACGUGCACCAGGUUUUUGGGUUGUCUGGCCCGUGGAGGAUCGUAGAGUGGACCGGCUGCAUCUUGAGGGGAGCACAAGUAUGUCUUGCAGUUCCGUUAAGGCUCAUACUGCCUCCUUGAGAGAUGUCAUAAAAAUGGAACGUACCUUUGUCGUGCGUGUGGACGUCAGAAAUGCUAGAAGAGACGGUGUGGCAGCAGAAAGGCGGCGAGGCGGUUCGACGGAGGAGUUUUCGGGUUUCCAUCCAGCAGGAAUCAUGACUCGUCUCUCUCAACGACUUCAAGCCCAAGUGCUGCAAAUGAGAGGGCCCUGA
rnacentral:lncRNA from 1 species